rnacentral:rRNA from 1 species
GACGAACGCUGGCGGCGUGCUUAACACAUGCAAGUCGAACGGUAAGGCCCUUCGGGGUACACGAGUGGCGAACGGGUGAGUAACACGUGGGUGAUCUGCCCUGCACUUCGGGAUAAGCCUGGGAAACUGGGUCUAAUACCGGAUAGGACCACUGCCUGCAUGGGUGGUGGUGGAAAGCCUUUGCGGUGUGGGAUGGGCCCGCGGCCUAUCAGCUUGUUGGUGGGGUGAUGGCCUACCAAGGCGACGACGGGUAGCCGGCCUGAGAGGGUGACCGGCCACACUGGGACUGAGAUACGGCCCAGACUCCUACGGGAGGCAGCAGUGGGAAUAUUGCACAAUGGGCGCAAGCCUGAUGCAGCGACGCCGCGUGAGGGAUGACGGCCUUCGGGUUGUAAACCUCUUUCAGCACCGACGAAGCGCAAGUGACGGUAGGUGCGGAAGAAGGACCGGCCAACUACGUGCCAGCCGCCGCGGUAAAAC